UUAGGAAUAUUCGUCAAUGGGGGAAACCCUGAACGAGCAAUGCCGCGUGAACGAUGACGGCCCUAUGGGUUGUAAAGUUCUGUUGUUUGGAAAGAACGGCAGAUAGAGGAAAUGCUAUCUGCAUGACGGUACCAUUCAAGAAAGCCACGGCUAACUACGUGCCAGCAGCCGCGGUAAUACGUAGGUGGCGAGCGUUAUCCGGAUUUAUUGGGCGUAAAGGGUGCGCAGACGGUUUAUUAAGUCUAAAAUCAAAUCUUGGAGCUUAACUCCAUUCCGUUUUAGAAACUGGUAGACUCGAGUAUGGUAGAGGCAAAUGGAAUUCCUAGUGUAGCGGUGGAAUGCGUAGAUAUUAGGAGGAACACCAGUGGCGAAGGCGAUUUGCUGGGCCAUUACUGACGUUCAUGCACGAAAGCGUGGGGAGCAAAUAGG
rnacentral:rRNA from 1 species